rnacentral:rRNA from 1 species
CCUACGGGAGGCAGCAGUGGGGGAUAUUGCACAAUGGGGGAAACCCUGAUGCAGCGACGCCGCGUGUGGGAAGACGGUCCUCUGGAUUGUAAACCACUGUCCCCAGGGACGAAGAUGACGGUACCUGGGGAGGAAGCUCCGGCUAACUACGUGCCAGCAGCCGCGGUAAUACGUAGGGAGCGCGCGUUGUCCGGAAUUACUGGGUGUAACGGGAGCGUAGGAGGGACUGCAAGUGGGGGGUCAAAUCUACCGGCUCAACCGGUAGCCGCACUCAAAACUGCAGUUCUUGAGUGAAGUAGAGGCAGGCGGAAUGCCUAGUGUAGCGGUGAAAUGCGUAGAUAUUAGGAGGAACACCAGUGGCGAAGGCGGCCUGCUGGGCUUUUACUGACGCUGAGGCUCGAAAGUGUGGGGAGCAAACAGGAUUAGAUACCCCAGUAGUC